CUGUCACUCGUGUCCGAGGGGACGUCCCUUGCGGCGGGGGUGGCACCUGGCGCGCCCCGGGCCCCGUCCCCGGCGGCGGAGGUGACGUCCCCCGUGACGUAGGUGACGUCCCUCGCGCCCCGGGCCCUGUCCCUUCCGUCCAAGGGGACGUCCCCGCUGCCAAAGGGGACGUCCCACGUGCCGUCGGUGACAUCGGCGCCCGCGGGGACGUCCCGGCCGUCCAAGAUGACGUCUCCGGUGCCAAAGGGGACGUCUGCGGUGCCGACGGUGACAUCGGCGCCCACGGGGACGUCCCUUGUGUCCUGGGCGCCGCCGCGUCCGUCCAAGGGGACGUCCCUGCUGCCGACGGUGACGUCCGCGCCCACGGGGACGUCUCUGGUGCCGGAGGGGACGUCUCCGGUGCGGAAGGGGACGUCACCUGAGCCCGUGGGGACAUCUCUGGUGCCAAAGGGGCCAUCUUGGGUGCCGAAGGUGACGUGUUCUUCUCCCAUGGGGACGUGUCUGGUGCCAAAGGGGACAUCUUGGGUGCCGAAGGUGACACCUGUGCCCAUGAGGAUGUGUCUGGUGCCAAAGGGGACAUCUCCGGCGUUGAAGAUGACACCUGCGCCCAUGGGGCUGUUUCUCGUGCGGAAGGGGCCAUCUUGGGUGCCGAAGGCGAUGUGUUCUUCUCCCAUGGGGACGUGUCUGGUGACAAAGCRGCCAUCUUGGGUGGCUCUGGUCGCCCACGGAGAGGGUCCCGCGCGUCUCCCGCAGCAGCUCCGGGGCCACCCAGCGCAGCGGCACCCACAGCCGCUCCGCCGUCACGUAGUAGUCCUCCUGGGGGGGGCGUCACCCCGCGGGAACCCCCGGCCUGUCCGCGUCCCCUCCAUCCCCGCCGGUCCCCGUCCCCAUCCCCGUGUCCCUCCAUCCCCUCUGGUUCCCCCGUCCCCGUCCCCGUCCCCAUGUCCCGCCAUCUCUUCUGGUCCCUGUCCUUGUUCCCUCCGUCCCGUCCAUGUCCGCAUGUCCCUCCAUCCCGUCCCCGUGUCCCUCCAUCUUUUCUGGUCCCUG
rnacentral:lncRNA from 1 species